AAAUUGUUGACUACAUACCCAGCUUAUGAAGCCUCAACUCCUUCUCGUUCUCUUUGAAUAAAAAGCAACACACAGGGUGAUAUAAUAUUUAUCAUUCUGAUAUUUUCUGCAGAUUUAUUCCUCUUUCUACCCCCUUACGCUUCAGGAUUAGACCUGGCUCUUCCUGGAACUGAGGUACAGGUUGCAAAUUCAACAUUUCCAGUGACUGGGGUAUUUCUCUUGCUCUUCUGCUGCUUCUCCUGAUCUUUGUACUCAGUGGUGCUGGAUAAGAAUCCCCGGACUCUGCUACCUGUGGGACCUUGGGAAAGAAGAGGAGUGUAGCAAGAUGAGGAGCUACGUGAGGCUCCAGUAACCAUUGAUCCAGCAACAGGAUGUACCAAGCAUAGGUUUAAGUGCUUAGUUUUAGAUGUCGUUGGGUUUCCUACCUGCCUCUGGCAUUACUCCUUAGCUUUGUGUACAUUCAGUUUAUAUGAACCAUCUUCCUCUUGGAUCAUGUUUGGAGGGAAAACAGGCCAUUGUGCUUUCGCCCAUCUGUACAAAACCUAGAGGGUCAGUCUGUGUGGGGAAGUGAAGAGCAUAUGCUGCAGAGUCUGCCUUCUGGCUUUUGAAGAGGAAAGAACCACUCCUAAUUUAUGCAAUGCAAUUUGGAGUUUCAAAUUCAAACAUAUGUUGCCAUACUUCUGCUUUGGAUGAAUGAAGCAAGUCUUCCUUUACCCUCUCCUUGCUUGUGAGGUGUCAGCCACACAGGACUGGAAACCAUGGAAAAUGCUGGGAUAGCAGCUGGAGCCAAACUUGCAGUAGUUCACUGCUAUCACUGACAGCUACAAGCAGGUAACAGGAAAGCAGGGGGUCUUUUCGUGGCAGAAACUGCACAGUGGCUGCAAUAACAUUUCUCUGGCAGUACAAAUUUCACGUGGUGUGUUUGCUUUUGCCUUGCUGGAUAGUUUCUAUCACAUGGUCUGCUAUGGCACCUUUUUUAAAAGAUACGUGUUCCCUGCUGAUGGAGUAACUCUUGUAUGUGCUGCUGUUUCAGGAAAUAGCAAUGUUGUAAUUAGUUGGCUUGAGACAUUCUCAACUGUGGCUGCAGGACACAGAACAAAAUAUGUUUUAUCAUUUUGUGCCCGUGUUUCCAUGGCUGAAAGUGCAACUUAAGUACUGUUUAUGUUAUUAAAUGUUAUUUAUAAAGCAAAGGCAGGCAGUAACUGCAACCUUAAGAGUAAUAACAAAUUUUUGAGAGUAUUGCACAAGGAACUUUAGACAUGUGUAGGCAAAACAGCUAUGAAGAGAUACACAGGCCUGGAACACGGAGACACUGUCAUGCUGCUUUUGGCAUUGAGAGACUACAUCUCCAGACUGAACCUGCCAAAGGCCUUAAACAUCUCCAGGUUAGCUAUAAAAGACCUUCACUCAUGACCUUGCCUUCUCAGCAGUGUGGCUGCCAUAUAGCCUCCUUUCUCUGGGCUAUUAGUGUGUAAUUCAAAGAGCUAGUUGGGAAAUCAGAUUCCUGGCAUUUUACAUACAACACCAAAACAGGAUUCAUUAAAGUCAUAUACUGAGUGAGUAGCUGCCUAGAAUUAGUUUCCUAAAGGUAUAUUAAUCAUUCACUAGGCUAUAACCUAAGUGCAGCAAUUGCACCUGCGGUAUGCAGGUUGGCGUUUGGCAGCUAGAAGCCAGAUUUCUGCCCUUGCUCACCCCACUCCAAUAUGAUGAGGGAGUUAAGAGUUCUGAGGAACACCAGGCAGGUCUGGGACCUGGUUUCUGGUCCUUGUAAUUCUCUGAACAGCACAAAGUGCUGGAGUCCAUCCAAAACAGGACCUGAACUUCUGGCCCAGGCAGAGGAGAAGCUUGUGAAUGUAAUGGGAUAAGUGGUAGUGUUGCAAGUAUGUCAGCAUGAAGCACUUAUUUCCUGAUUCACAUAAGUGAAUGGAGGCAGGUUCUCUCCUGCAUGUACAUGUGACUCAGCUCUGAGUCAGGAGCUGCUCAUGCCACUGAUGCCAACACCAGGGCUUACUGCUGCUGCAGGUGUUGCAGUCAAAUAGCAUUGUGAUGAGUUUCCAGUGCAUUUAUACAUGCAAAGCAGGAAAACUUUAACUCAUGCAGGAAGGUCUUUGGAGGAAACUUUGGAAAUGUUUCUGUCAGGGUUACCUUGUGGAGUUUCACCUUUCACACAUACUAUUUUCGAGUGAUUCAUCUUGUUUCUGGUCAGCAUAUGAUGCCGUAGGAGUUUAAAGACCAAUAUAAUUAACUCUCAGUCAGUGGGCUAAUCCCAGUGGAUUAGCUGCAUCAUGAAUUAACAGUAAUAAAUGCAAAAAUAAUAUACUAGGAUUCAUGUGAUGCUGUAUGGACUGACAGUUCAGGCAGCUCAACUUCAGGUAUCACUGCACUUCACAGUUCAUUGCAUCAAAUUCUUCCUCCUUCGUUUCCUGCAGUCACCCUGCCUCUGUGAGUUUUCCAUGCUGACACUCCACCCUCCAACUCUCCACUGCCUCUGGUGCUUUCAGUAGCCCCUGAGGUGCUCUUCAUAACAAGAUAUAGAAAGAGGGUCCAAAAGAGAAAUGAACACUUCAGCAAGCAGACUCUGCAAGGUCAUUCAGCACCCCCUGAGGAUGAGCAUUCCUUCUACACUGUGAUUUUAAGGAACUCCUGAGGCUACAUUUCUUUGCACAGCUGAGCUGCUCUAACAGUCUGCUGCUUUUGAAAAGGGUGCUCUUAUUCCCCUCAUCCCCUUCAUUCUAUGGCUGGCCCUUUCUUCCAUGGAUUUGUUUGGCUCAUUACCCCAAGAAGACAACCACCUGCUUUCUUUUUCCUAAUUAUUACUUUUUUUUCUCUGGGCUAAUGAGCUCUGUCAGCUGAUGGAGAUGGCAAAUAGCACUGGGAUGAGAUGGAUGGUAGGGAGCAGAGCUGGGGAUACACAGAGAGGGUGCUGUGGAGCAGCAGCUCAGCCUACGUGAUUGGAGUGUGUCCUUCAGGGUUGUUUUGGGCUAUAGCUUUGUUGCCUCUGAAGGAGCAUGUAUCUCCAGAGUUACUGGUGAGUCAGAGAUGGACCUUAACUGAAUGAGCAGUUUAACACAGGAGAGAUGAGCAGAUUUUUUCCAACCUUCAUCUUCUAGGGCAGCUAGCUGUAGGGAUGGAGAAGAGCCAGGCCAAUACAAGGGAGCAAGCAAGAAAAGCAUCUAGGGUGGUGGGAUAUGGAAAAGCACUCUGCCAAGGAGAAUUCCCAAUAAGGCUGAGCAACCACCUUACUGGCAGCCUCCCAUUUCCCAAUGGAAUCCUACACCAGGACUUUAAAGAGACAUGCCUGAAAACUAAAAGGCCUAGUUCUGCAGAUGCUAAUGAUUAAGAACUCUAUAAAUGCAUUUCACAGCACAAUAAAAUCUGGGGUUAAAUUUGCUUUUCCCCACCCCCAGCACUCUCACUCUGUUGCUGUUCUCCUUGCCAGCUGCCUCUGCUGUCACACAGAUAUAACGUGUGGGUAUAACUAUGUAAUGGCAGAUGGGUGACAUUUGGAUGCAGGUUGGCUGUGUGCACCCAGGAUGUCGUGGAGAUUUGCUCAGAGCUAAAGAGGCAGUGGCAUAAAUGUGACCUUUCAUCAGCAGAUCAGUUGAUCUAUGAGGAGCUCCGCCUUUUUGAUAACCCUUACCUCUAUGUAUAUAAUUAGUUAUGUAACAUUCAGAGAACAGCCUGGGAAGAUGCAGGAAGUUGCAUGCUGGUAAGAAUGGGUAAAAUGGGCAGAUGUGUGACUGAGUCAAGGAGCCAUCUCUGAGCACAGCCUUUUGGAGAAGUAGGCAGGGAUGGUACCCUGUCAGUAUGGCUGGGGUCUUUGAUGGUGCAAGUAUGCUGUUUGACUAUAUACUUUAGAAGAAAAUAGCUUUGUAUUUAUUUCUUCCCGUGAUGAGUAAACCAGCUUGUGGGUGGGAGCUGUGACUUUGUCCAGUGUAUCAGUGGUGUAGUGUUAGUCUGUAAAUUGCUUCAAUUUUCUGAAUAUGGUUUUGGAGGUGUAGGAGAAAACUAAAUCUCCCUAAAGUCAGAUGUAUAUGUGACUCUUCUCCAGCAGGCUAUUUUGGAAUGGA